GUGCUUUCGGCUGUCGCCCGAACGCGGUGCACGAAGAACUUUACAUCGGUCGCCUUUGCCUGCUCGCCUUCUGCUGCCUCCGCGUCUCAUUCAGUUUUCAGUUUGCUUUGCUCUGUUCGCCGUUCACCACCGCCUCUCACCCGCGCGGCGUUUUGAUUCUGAUUGCCACUACUGUUGCACACACACACGCACGGCCGGAGAGUGUGCUGUGCCCGCCACCACCACCAUUGCAAUAUCAACUUGCAGGUGGCCUGACCCCCAAAAGGAACGUCCAUAUCCAUCUAAAUAUACUUUUAAGUCCGCUCCUGGCGAGCCCCCUGAAUCGGGCCAAAAAGAGAACCACAUGAGGUGAACGAUAGAAUUUGGCUGUGCGCCAAUUACACUGACAAACGGAUCAAGCUGCGGUAGCAACAACACC